GUUACUGUUCAUUAAAGACAAUUACUGUUCACUAGAGCCUAUUUAAUAGUGAGUUGCCAUAGGAGACCUUUGCAACGCUAGAGUUUAAAAGAGUGUUAAGGAGCAAUAUACAUCUCUUUAGGUCUAUUCUGGAGAGCUAAAAAGGAAAAUUUUAUGGGGGACAAUUUCAGUGGGACUUUAUGCCUUCAAAAGUGAGUCACAUGCCCUUCACUUGACGUUAAAAAAUAAAAAAUUUGAUAAAAUUGGUUAAGU
rnacentral:lncRNA from 1 species